rnacentral:rRNA from 1 species
AGGGCACCACCAGGAGUGGAGCCUGCGGCUUAAUUUGACUCAACACGGGGAAACUCACCCGGCCCGGACACCGGAAGGAUUGACAGAUUGAUAGCUCUUUCUUGAUUCGGUGGAUGGUGGUGCAUGGCCGUUCUUAGUUGGUGGAGCGAUCUGUCUGGUUAAUUCCGAUAACGAACGAGACUCUAGCCUAUUAAAUAGACGUCGGGUUCUCUGCACUCGACGGUCUUCUUAGAGGGACAAGGUGCUUUUAGCACCGCGAAACAGAGCAAUAACAGGUCUGUGAUGCCCUUAGAUGUCCGGGGCCGCACGCGCGCUACACUGAAGGAAGCAGCGUGUAACAACCUUGUUCUAACGAACUGGGUAACCCGUGGAACUUCCUUCAUGAUUGGGAUAGGGGUUUGCAAUUGUGCCCCUUGAACGAGGAAUUCCCAGUAAACACUAGACAUCAGCUAGUGCUGAUUACGUCCCUGCCCUUUGUACACACCGCCCGUCGCUACUACCGAUUGAAUGGUUUAGUGA